AUUGAACGCUAGCGGGAUGCCUUACACAUGCAAGUUGAACGGAGUGGCGAACGGGUGAGUAAUGUAUCGGAACGUGCCCAGUAGCGGGGGAUAACUACCCCAAAGCGUAGCUAAUACCGCAUACUAUUGCAGCCGCCGAUAUCGGAUUAGCUGGUGGGUGGGGUAACGGCUCACCAAGGCGACGAUCCGUAGCAGGUGUGAGGGGAGGACCAGCCACACUGGGACUGAGACACGGACCAGAAUCCUACGGGAGGCAGCAGUCGGGAAUGUUGGGCAAUGGGGGAAACCCUGAUCCAGCCAUCCCGCGUGUGCGAUGAAGGCCUUCGGGUUGUAAAGCACUUUUGGAAGGAAAGCGGUACCUGCAGAAUAAGCACCGGCUAACUACGUGCCAGCAGCCGCGGUAAUAC
rnacentral:rRNA from 1 species